UCUCUACAAAAAAUAUAUAAUUAGCUGGGCGUGGUGGCGCGCGCCUGUGGUCCAAGCUUCUCCGGAGGCUGAGGUCGGGGGAUCGCCUGAGCCCUGGAGGUCGUUGCUGCAUUGAGCCGUGAACGCACCACUGCAUUCCAGCCUGGGCAACAGAGCGAACUCUAUCUCAAAACAAAACAAAACAAAACAAGAAAAAGAAAAAAAGAAGAAAAUUAAAAAAAAAAAGAAAGAAAAAGAACGUCCCAGGUCUGUUGAAGCACUAAGAAAAGCAGAAAAAGAAAGGGGAGCCAGGGAAGGGCUGGCAGGCUGUGCAAUUUAAGGGAGCACCAGAAAAACUGGCAAUCAAAUAAUAUAUUAAUGUAAUAUUUUAAAAAGUAAAAAUUAAUGCAGGAAAUCCGGGAGGAACAAAAUAAGAGUCAUGUGUACCUUAACAACAGGGUAAGGUCUGAGGAUUGCGUCAUUAGGCGAUUUUGUUGCUGUACGAACACCACAGAAUGUACUUUGACGACCUAGAUGGUGGAGCCUGGACACACCUCGGCUCUGUGGUGUGGCCUGCUGCUUCCAGGCUGCAAACCUGACAGCAUGGGGCUGUACUGAAUACCGCAGACCAUUGUAAUUCAUGGGGAAAGCGCGAAUGCAGUCCCCCACUACAACAAAUUAUGCAGUCGAGUUUUCCACAUUUGGGAAUAUCACAGGGGUCAGCACAUCCGGAGUGCAAUCGAUGAGCCCCACGCUGGGAAAAACCACCUUCGUGAUCAUGGUAUCUUCCCUG
rnacentral:lncRNA from 1 species